GCCUAUAUUGCAGGAGCAGAGACAGCGUCAACAUCCCUGGGAGGAAUGGACAAGCUCCUGGGGGCGUCAACACUGGUUCUGUUGCUUCUAACAGACUGGGUAGAAACUCAACAGAACAAUGUCCAGCAGGUUAAGCAAAAUUCGCCAUUCCUGAGUGUGCAAGAAGGAGACAUUUCUGUUCUGAACUGUGACUAUACUAAUAAUUUGUUUGACUAUUUCUUAUGGUACAAAAAAUACCCAGCUAGAGCGCCCACAUUUCUGACAUCUAUACGUUCAGUUAAGAACAAAAAGGAAGAUGGAAGAUUCACAGUCUUCCUCAACAAAAGCGCCCAACAUAUCGCUCUUCAGAUCACGGCUUCCCAGCCUGAAGACUCAGCCUUGUACCUCUGCGCAGCAAGUGCACAGUACUCCGCAUGCACCUGCAGCCUGUACUCAAACCACAGCCAACCCCUGCUCGGCAGCAGAGAGGGAGGUUCAGACAAGGAGGUGUAUGAAUGCAGUUUCAUUAAACACAGCAGCAUGAGAGAAUGUGCUUUAAAGCAUGUGAGGCAAAUUUAA